GCUGGGCAUGGUGGCGCGCGCCUGUAAUCCCAGCUACUUGGGAGGCUAAGGCAGAAGAAUCACUUGAGCCCAGGAGGCGGAGCUUGCAGUGAGCUAAGAUCGUGCCACUGCACUCCAGCCUGGGCUACAGAGUGAGACUCCGUCUCAA
rnacentral:SRP_RNA from 1 species